CCCCGGGUACCUGACUGGAUUCCGUGAGCUCUUCCUGCGCGUUGCUCCUGAAAGAAGGAUCACACGUGUGCGCAGACAUUUCCAGGGUCAGCAGCCAUGGAGGUGACCCCUGAUGUCAGGAGUCCAGGACAGGUCAGGACACAAUGGAACAGAGGGAGGGCCCGAUCUUGGGAGUGGUUAGAGUGAGGCAGUUGGCUUCACAGCCAAGACUUUCUCACACCCUCUCUUGAUCUACUCAUUUUCAGCCUCGAAAAAUAAAUACAUACAUAUGCCAAAGAAUUUCUACUGAGGAAAUGAAGAAAGUAGAAUUAAAUGAAAGUAAUAUUCUGCAAAGGAGUCAGGAAGAAAUAAAACCAAACAUUUCAACUGCUUCAGACAGGUAACCUACUUCAUUCAAAGUUGCAAAGAAAACCUCAGUUCUGAAAAUCAACAUAUUUCUGAGCAUGAGAGCUAGAAUGAUUGCUGAAAUGAAGGCUGAUAAUCACUUCCUGGUGAUGAGGCAGGGACUCCAAGGACUUCAGAAUGUAAGGCCACAUGCCAGAGAGUUGCCUCCUAGAAGAUCUGUAAAACCCUAAUAUUCACUAGAAGGAAAUUGUUAGCUGAAGACAGGAUGUUGCUGUUUUAGAGAAAAUCAACCACCCACUGCAAGAGUAAACACAAGUAAACACAUAGAAUAUUAUGUUAUGUAUCAUACUCCAGGAAUUCUGACACAAGAGCUUCUCAGCUCCUUGAAAACUCUGAAGUGAAAAUCCUGCACUUUGUGUGAUAAUUAGAUGGCUAAUGGUUGGGUUACUGUUGAUAGCUUCUCAUGAAAAAAUGAUCUAAAAAUCCACAUAGACCAAGUAAUACUUAAAAACUGCAACUUCUAAGACUCACAUUUAUAACUGGGAAGUAGGUUGAAAGUUUAAACCUCACCUAUUGUACCUGUGAAAAGGAGGAAAGAGGUCAAAACUUAGUUCAUAAUCAAAACAAAAAGCCUAUGUUUGUGUCAAUAUACCAGGAAAUUAUUCACUUGUAAGGGAGGCUAUUGUCUUCACUCUAUGACAUUUAGCCCCAUCCUUAUCUAAAUGUAUUAAGAUGCUAGUAAAUUCCACUCCUCCAUCUGUUUCCUGAAGACUAGAAUCCAUCCUGAUUGAAAACUGAGAGACCUAAGUUAGUUUAAGAGACUCCAUUUUGUCUGAACUGCCCCAGUCCUGAUGGGAAAACUGUCCUCUGUGUGAACUCUGAAGGGGAGGGGAUCUUAUCUCAUGUUGCACUCCUGUGUGAUGUCUCAACACACCAGAUGUUCUUAUCUCGUGCCUAUACUCCUGUUUUCAAUUGAUGCUUAAGGGUUUAGAGGAACAACUACCAAGAGUGCACAUGGAACCCACCCAUCGUAAAUAACCGGAUGUGUGUUUAUAUUUUAUAAGGGCUGGUUUUACAUUAUGUAUCUGGUAACCCAGAGGUGCUAACCACGCAGUCUUUCCCGCUUCUGUAGAUAUGCUUACUGCAGGGCUAGGGAGGAAAGGGUUUUCUUUAUAAAAACUGACCAAAAGUUCAGUCUGGGGCCAGUCUCCUUGCAGGGGAUUUGGUCCCAGUCAGAAAUAAAGUUCUCUGCGGACUUCACA